ACUGCAAUGGAUGCAAACACCUUCCGUCCCUUUGGCGUCUCCCAAAGCUUGAAUCACUUACCAUAAGUAAAAUGGAUCAAAUAGAGCAGUUAAACGAUGACUUCUUCUUCCACAUUGGAAGUGGAGGUGUUUUUUCAUCACUUGAGAUACUUGAAGUUAAAAGCAUGAAAAAGUUAAGAAGCUGGGUUACAAGUGACAUUGGCCAGCUUUCUUUUCCAAAGCUUAAUCAACUAACCUUCAAGGAUUGUCCCAUGUUGGAGCAAUUUAAUGUCCUUCAACUGCUCAAUUCCAUCUGCUGUCUGAAAAUUAAAGAUUGUGAACUACUAAUACGAUGGAUGGAUCAACAGCCAGGUUGGCAGAAGAAAAAGGAAGAAGACGAUGGAAGCUCCAUCUACCAACGCAUUUGAGAUGGUUGUACUACUUUCACAAAAUAUUUUGGGCUGAAGGUGAGAGUGAUUGAAUCAAGCUGGUGUUGUAUCCUGAAGAAUAUUCAAAAUUCUAAAUCUUGUGAGAAUCAAUGAGUUUGAACAAUGUCUUCUUUUUCCCCCUUUUUGGUUUCUACUUUGUCCAUAUAAUUUAAUUUUCAGUUCAAGUGUUGCUCCUUGUCUGAAGCCUAAGGAUUUGUUUGGAUGCCCAAAAGUAUGGUUGCAGAACUUACUUCGCUAAAAAUGUGUUAGACAUGUUUGUUAAGAAGGUUAUGAAAAGAUUAAUUUGGAAGUGCA